GCCCCCUGCUACCAAAACCUUGCCGUGUAAACCCAAUACAAAGUCAGUGCUGUUCUGCUGCGCGCUUCUCAUGAACAAUGUGAGUUCACAGCGCACACCGGUGCUAUGCUGGCUGACAUCACCUGAAGAUUUACCUAUUGUGUUUAGAAGUGUGACCAUAAUUGGAGCUAAAUUGUGCCUUGCUAUCGUUACUCAAGUUGCAUAUAUUGAUAAUGGGAAAAAGAAGCUUUCUUGGCACAGUGUGUCCAUGGACACUGCUUAAAGAAAGAGAACUUGAUUUUGUAGACCAGAGUUACUGAUUACCAUUUUUCACAUUGUGUACUAUAUAACCCCAGGAGCAGAUCUGAAUCCAAGCUCACUACAGUGAAAAGAAUCGCAGUUAAGAGAAAGUAGUAAUAAUAGUAAUAACAAAUAUUAGAUUAUGUAUUUUCUAGUUGUAAAGUUUCAGGAGUGGAAAAAGGGGCAAUAACAUGUAUAAUCCUGCAUAAAAGAGAGUGCUAUCAGAAAAGAAGGAACUUAUUUUUAAAUGUUCCUCCAAAUAGCCUUCUUGUAUUAGCACAUCCUUUCAACUUGGGUCAUGGCUGAAUUAAGCUUCCUACACAGCCAGGUUGUCCUGUGGAUAUAAAUACGUGCUCUAAGUCACAUAAAAGCAAUCCAAUCCUAUUUGCAUUGUCACUCUAUGAUACAAAAUGCUAUAAUGACCUCUUUUUUUGAUGUCCAGUGCUAUCUAUAAGACAGGCUUAGGCCCUUUUGUUCUUAAGGAGGUCAGCUAUUGCUUUGCUUUCUUAAUGAGCUUCAGACAUUCCCAGAGAGCCUUCUGAUAUCGCAGACAUACUUAGCCCCAGGCAAGACACUUGUGGCCUCUGCCAACACCUAAGCUUUGCAGACAUGUGACAGGUUAUGCAACUGAACUGGCCUUUAUAUACUCGCAGGACGUUAGCAUGUAAGGGGCUUACGAGGAGAAGAACACCAGGUGAGGAAAAAAAUGUUUGCAUAUGUUGCUUCUUGGAGUACUUUGGCUCUGCAACAAAGCAUAUUAGAUUUAAUUUUCUGUUUCAUUUGGAGGUCACUGUGUAAAAAUCCUUGGGAAUUAGUGAUGUUUUAUCUGUUCUAAAAUUGCAGGGACUGAAGUUCUACGAAUACUUAGAAAUAAUGGUUAUUCCUCUACGGAGAAUGACACCUGGGUAUAUAAGGUUGUUGCAGACUCAAGCUGCAGGAAAAAUAGUUGUCAACUCAUCGGACAUACUGCUGCAACAGACUGCCUUGCUCCUGGGCAUGUUUGGGAUCAGUCUCUCCAGCUACAGCACGCACCAGCUGGCUCAACAGAAGAGACUUCCCAUGACCCUUUAAGCUGUGUUGGGAUGUGGCCCAAGAAAUAAAUGCUUGUGUCAGUAGUGCUGAUGAGUAGCUUUUCUGUCUCCAUUACCAGUGUGGAGGUAAUGAGACACUUUGCAGCCUCGAUUUCUACAUGCUUCAACUUCUUACAAGUUGAAAGGAUGGAAGAAUACAGAUUUCUUCAAGAAAGAAAAAAAAAUAAUGGACUAACUGAGGCAUCAGAUUUCCAAGAAUUGUCUGUAAAUACAACAGAUUUCCUUUGUUAUCCAGUGCAUACAUAAAGGGACAUCUGAAUGUAUAAAAUACAGUUAAAAUCAGAGUAGUUGUAAGCAGAUUGAUGAGGAUGCCAUGCUUAGCAUUGCCUUGCUACAGCUUUUGCACAUUGACUCCUAUACAAAGACUGGUUUUGAAAAGGAAAGUUGGAAGCAAAAUAUUCCUCAUGGCAAGAGUUAAACCAGAUAAAAUACAUCUCUCAUAGACUACUUUUACUGUUAUAUCUAACUGAGAUACGUUUACUUGGAUUACAGAAUUUGUGCACUGUAACCUUUACUAUUGAAUCUUAAACACCUUUUUGAUGCCUCUUGUGUAGAAAUGUUUGUGCAUUGAAACACAUGCUGAUAUCCUUGUGCAACAGCAGAGAUGGCUGGAGGCUACACCAUCAGUACUUUAUUGGAAAGGAACCAUGACACUAGACCAGAUACCUUUGUAAUCCUGUACAGAAACUCUCUAGAAAGGAUCAGUAAAAAUUUGGGGUUGGGUUUUGUUGUAGAGUUCAACAUCUGGUCAUUAUUCCUCUGCAGAAACUCAUCAUUCCAAAAUAUACAUUCUGAUUAAAAUAAAAUAGCGACUGACCUUUUUUACCUCCUUUUCUCUUGUUUUCUUGUUCUGUUCACUCAAUGUAAUAUCUUAUUCAGGAAUGUUCUGUUACUACUGGUUAGCAUUUUGCAGCUGUUUCUGAUGCUUUAUGUAAACAUGGCUUAGUAGGCUCUUCUGUACAUAUGUUAUUGUUUGAAAUCCUUUGUUCUCUGCUAAUAAAUGCAUUUUUUUUUCAA